CCCAGAGAGGCUGCGUGGCUGCCCCAGGCCGCACCAUCGGAAGACUUCUUGCUGGGCCCAGUGUCCUCACCUGUCUCUCUGCCUCCCACCUGAGUCCCUGUGCCAUGGGUUAUGUCCUGCCUGUCAAAACCACAGGACUACAACCAGAUGUCUGCUUUGAUGGUAGUUAUGACACACCAUGCAAGGGUUCUUGUGCUUCUUUCCCGGGACUGCGUGCAGCAUGGAGGCCGGAACCACGUCUGUUUCCUUCAGGGGUUCAGAGGAGGCCCUCAAGGAAUGUUUGUUAUACAAAUGAA